rnacentral:rRNA from 1 species
GACGAACGCUGGCGGCGUGCCUAAUACAUGCAAGUAGAACGCACAGUUUAUACCGUAGCUUGCUACACCAUAGACUGUGAGUUGCGAACGGGUGAGUAACGCGUAGGUAACCUGCCUGGUAGCGGGGGAUAACUAUUGGAAACGAUAGCUAACACCACAUAAUAUUAAUUAUUGCAUGAUAAUUAAUUGAAAGGUGCAAUUGCACCACUACCAGAUGGACCUGCGUUGUAUUAGCUAGUAGGUGAGGUAACGGCUCACCUAGGCGACGAUACAUAGCCGACCUGAGAGGGUGAUCGGCCACACUGGGACUGAGACACGGCCCAGACUCCUACGGGAGGCAGCAGUAGGGAAUCUUCGGCAAUGGACGAAAGUCUGACCGAGCAACGCCGCGUGAGUGAAGAAGGGUUUCGGAUCGUAAAGCUCUGUUGUAAGAGAAGAACGGGUGUGAGAGUGGAAAGUUCACACUGUGACGGUAUCUUACCAGAAAGGGACGGCUAACUACGUG